rnacentral:rRNA from 1 species
GACGAACGCUGGCGGCAGGCUUAACACAUGCAAGUCGAGCGCACCUUCGGGUGAGCGGCAGACGGGUGAGUAACGCGUGGGAAUCUACCCAUCCCUACGGAAUAGCUCCGGGAAACUGGAAUUAAUACCGUAUACGCCCUUCGGGGGAAAGAUUUAUCGGGGAUGGAUGAGCCCGCGUUUGAUUAGCUAGUUGGUGGGGUAAUGGCCUACCAAGGCGACGAUCAAUAGCUGGUCUGAGAGGAUGAUCAGCCACACUGGGACUGAGACACGGCCCAGACUCCUACGGGAGGCAGCAGUGGGGAAUAUUGGACAAUGGGCGAAAGCCUGAUCCAGCCAUGCCGCGUGAGUGAUGAAGGCCCUAGGGUUGUAAAGCUCUUUCAACGGUGAAGAUAAUGACGGUAGCCGUAGAAGAAGCCCCGGCUAACUUCGUGCCAGCAGCCGCGGUAA